AUGUUAACUUUCUCAGGAUCAAAGGAUUCAGAAGGCUAUUUUGCUCUCAUUUUAUCCUUAGGCUUCAGCAGAAGAAACACUUCCUAUAAAUCUCGCCCAAACAGGAAAGGUUCCCAGCACUCCAAAGCCAAGCUCACCUCCUCAUCACACGCCCUGCAGGAGAAGCAUCAGGGUGUCCGACUACGUGGGUUUCAUAGCUGUGGAAAAGCCAAAGGGGAGACUCCUGAAGAAAGGCGGUGAAGACUGUGAAGAGCGGGUCAGGAAGAUGAGCACAGCACUGCUACUCCUGUGGGCACAGGGACAGCAUGUCUCCAGCCAGCGCCACCUUGUUUAAUACAUGGGAACUCACUGAAAUUCAUUCUGUAUUUUGCCCACAAAGUUUUAAAGCUUUCAUCCACAGUCAGGAAUUAAACUUAUACCAAUGAGAGCCUCACACAUUCAAGGAUGUACUAAGCACUACAGGCCUCACAGAAACAGAGAUCCCAUCUUGGAGUUUUCAGUCCCACAUGGGAGAUAAAGGGUUUUGAACAUGAAAUGACAAAAACAACAGCAAGAAGAAAAUUCUCGUCCUUUUUCAUUACUAUCAAACUCAAAUAAAUGUCUUGGCUCUUACAUUACAUUCAUUCUUCAACCAUUGUGGUCUGGCUUCCACUUCCUUCACUUCACCAACAUGGCUCUGCCAAAGGAAGCCUGUGAUCUCUAGGCCAUCACUUUAAUUGAUCUCUCUACAACAUUUAUCCUGGUCGUUAAGCCCUCCUUACAACAUUCUUCUCUCUUUGUUUUUAU
rnacentral:lncRNA from 1 species